GCUUUCUCCAGAAGCUUCUCAUUCUCUCUCUGUAACGCUUCCUGUUCAUCUUCAUCUUCUCUGAUUUUCAUCUUUGCUGCUAACUUUGCUGUCCUCCCAUGUGUGCUGCUAACUUUGCUGGUACUAUGUUGACUGAGAGUCUUAUUUCUGAUUCCAAAUUAUGCAUGCUUACACACAUUAAUUUUAUCACCUGGAUCAUAGAUUCAGGGGCAUCUAAUCAUAUGACUCAUGAUAAAACCUACUCUUUAACAUCAUACCUUUGACUGUUCCUUAUCUUGUAACUUUGCCUAAUGGUU
rnacentral:lncRNA from 1 species